GGAAAAGCUCCCGCUGAGAGGUGAUCCCUCUCUCUUGUCUCACUCCGCAGAGCAUGAUGAGUGGGAGGGAGGCUGUGGGCCGUUCUCCAAGAGUUUUGAAAGAGCCACAGACAUCCACAGCACCGGAUGGGGAAGUUGAAUCAGAGACCUGGACUCUGCUGCGUACUUCAGGGUGACCUUUGGCAGGUUCCCUAAUACCUGGGAGCCUCGUAGGAGUGAAAUGGAAGCAAUUUCCAAGCCUCCUGUUACCAUGUAGACUAAAAUGCUGUGCACUGUGAUCUCGAAUAUGUGGCCCUCUCCAUGUGAACCGUGUGCAUGAAAGCUUCUUGCAAACCCGAAACUGGUCCCAGGAGUCAAACCUACGUUCUAGUCCCCUCUGUUCCAUUGACAUACUGUGUGGCCUUGGCUGAAGCCCUCUCCCUCCCUGAGCCUCAGUUUCCCCACGUGUGCCGGGAGGGGCUUGACCUAAAAGCUUUCCAAAAGAUUUUCUCACUGCAGAAAUCAGCGACUGAUUCAUGCCAAAUGCCAGCAAAUUCCCCCUCCCAGAGUCCGAAUUAUUCCAGAGACUUAGUCAUCCCAGAGUUUGAACUUUCUCGCAAAAACCAUCUGAAAAACUCUUCCAGCGUAAAAAAAAAAAAAAAAGAAGAAGAAGAAAAGAAAAGCUAUUAAAAGAAAGUAAAAGUUUCAAAACCAAAUCCUAAGCAAACAACCCCGAAAACAAUACAUACACACGCUCACAGCACCCAAGGUAACGCCAAGAACAGGAUAUGAAACCUUGCAGGCCGGCACUAAGAAAUGAUUCACAGGCUUUUCGAGAUGCUUCUAUUUCAAGGCACGAUCCGCCCACUGGAUCGGGCGGCUCCAAAAACAAAAUAAACCUUAAAGAAGCUGCCGUUUCUUAUCUCAACACACAGUUGGCCUCGCCAGCAUCGCCAGAUCUCAAGGGCUCCAGCCAGAAGACAAAGUUGGGUCCUGUGAAUUCCCUUUCUGUUCUGUUUCGAGUCUCAAGCUGCUGGCUUGUUUUUUGCAUCCACCUUUGGUUGGCUGAGCUUAAAGCAACACCGCCUUAACUGAUACCGGAGAUAAGUCUGCUGAGCCCAGGCCUGACACAUGGUUUGUGCUCGAUGAAGGUUUGCUAAACCAAACAGUGACAGAGUGUGCUGAAUUCUGUCCUCCUAAAAAGAUGGGAGAGUGAGGCGAAGUGACGAACAGCAGCCCUUUCCCGGUCUCCCCGUGAAUCAGGGCUGGAACUGGGAGCCGGGCCUCCUGUUACACCCAAAUGCUGCCUCUCCAGGCCACAGCUCAGAUGCACAGCGGGGCCAGCCCAGUGACCGCACCCCCCCCAGGCACGCUUGAGGCCUCCCAUGCCACCGUCCUGCUUGAGAACCACCAUGACCUUCCUCCCAGAAGACAACUCCAGGGAAGAGGGAAUUGGUUCGUUGUUCUCUGAACUAACGUUUUUUAAGCACCUACCGUGGGCCAGGCAUCGUACUUGGCUUUGGGAAUCCUGGAGGGACCAGGAUGUCAGACUCCCUCUCUUCUGGAAACUUAACAUUCGUAUGGGAGGGGCAGAUCAUAAACAAGAAAGCAAAUCCGUCAAUGGGAAAAUGUCAGGGUGAGUUCUCGGGUGGAAAUAGAGGGGCGAGGAGGUAGAGACAGAGCGCACGUGUUUCUAACCAGAUCGGACAGUUGGAUGGGAUCCUAAAGAGGCAAUAUUUGAACGGAGACCCCAGAGAGGUGAGAACCGAGAGGAUUCACACUAAGUGAUCCUGGUUGAUUGCCAAGUGUGCAGUGUGAAUGCCAGAGAGCAGCAGGAAGGGAGAAAAGCGGGUUACCUGAGUGUCCGCCUCAGCACAGUUUGGCUAUGACUAAGUAGACAAAGGCGAUGUUCACAUGUUCGCGCACCCUUGGAACCCACUGCGUCUUCUUCUCAGCAUGUAGGUGUCUUGCUCUGUUUAAUCCUCCUGGUCAAGGAGGGGCUAUCAUUUCCACUAUUCUACCAAUAAGGAAACCGAGGCUCAGAGAGGUGAGCGGACUUGCCUAAGUCCCAUAGCCAGAAGGUGGUAGAGCAAGAGCUUGAAUCCAGUCCUCCCGGGGUCUACGGCUUUAACCAUGGCCCAGCUUGGCCUAAUUCACUGUCUGCCCACACAGUAGGUGCUCAGCUAAACGGAUGUCUGCUUGUGUUUGGGGAGACAGAGCUCUGGUCAGCUGUUUAGCCGUUCCAGACCCUCAGCACGACUGCCCCUUGAGGGGCACCCGAGGACUUGUGCUUACCUUUCCCUGCCUUGCUCCCACCAACCUUCCAAAAUAAAUCCCUGAUGUCCCAAGGGGGGGUGAAAAUGAAUGUGCUGGCAGGAGUCACGACAGCGUCUGCAAUCCUCUUCGUGGAUUGUGAAACUAGACAAGUUCUGAGACCAUGAGUCACCAAUGUUACGUCAAGAAGGAAAUUGCAGACAAGUAAUCGCUAGGAACACCGCUUCACGGAGACUCCUUCCCUGGCUGUGUCACCCCGGGCCCCUGACCCUAUGUUUUAGUCACGGCAGGCAUCUGGAAUACAGAUGGGAGCCCCGUUUCUCUUCCCCCACGCCCAGGGCACCCUCUUCCCAGGUCCUCUGUCUCUCUGAGAGUUGGGUUUUGCACUCCCUAAGCUGCCCCAUGAGCCUCCUGGACUUUUCGUAGAUGAUGGUUCCUGUGGAGAGGUCUGGGUUCGAAUCCUGGCUCAGUCGCUCAGCAGCUGAGUGCCUUUGGCAAGUUUCUGGACCCCAGCAUCCUUACUCAGGGGUUAACUAGGACAACAGAUGCCCGUCUUCUAAGGCUUCAAGAGGGCAGUGUCCUUGUGUCUGUGUUCAUUGCUGUAUCUGCUUCCAAUGGUAUGACAUCAAUGACUAAAUAUUCGCUGAAUGAAUGAAAGUUCUAAUAUAGGACCUGGAUGUAUAGUAGGUUCUUAGUACCCGGUGGCUGUUAUUAUUAAUACUAAUUCCUAAAAGAAAGCCUACUGAGCAGCUGACCUCAGAAUCCUUCUGUUCAGCCUGUAUCUCUCUCGGGAUCAGUGAAGAUGCUGGUAUGUCCGUCGGUCCUAGAGUCCCAGAACCUGGACACCUGGGCUGGUAAGAAGGGGGCUGGGCAGACAAGACCCAGAUCUUACAAAGCAGGAAGGAGAUUGGGGCACCAAGGGAUACAGGGACCUUCUUUCUGCAGCAGGGUGACAGACAGAGAGCACCUUGAUAAAAAUUAGGAAACUGGCCCCUUGCAUCAGCCAAGGUUCCCAUAGGAAACAGAUGGCUGGCCAGGAGGGGCAAAGGAAGAGAGAGUUUUGUGAAGGACCUUAAUCUCUAAGGGGGUUGGUAGGGUUAAGGGAGGGAGGGGCACCCAGGACCAGCCCCAGACGGAAGUGCUGGCUUCUGAUAGCCUGGCCAGGGGUGGCUUCGGGAAAGGAUCUGUGGCCUGGGGCAGAAGAACUCUGCACAGUCAACCCAGCCAAUGAGGAGGAGGAGCCCAGGGCAAUAGAUUCCCGACCCUCCAUUCCUUUCCUCACUAGUGUCUCCCUGGAGCUUCCAUUGGCCCAACACGCGUGGAAGCCGGAGGAAAGCAGGGGUCCUGGCCCCGGGUGGAGGAGGUAUGGUGGGUCUGGAGGCACACUUGUGGAGAACACACAGCAUGCCUCUUUGUGUGUUUUGUUUUGUUUUGCUUUGGUUUUUAGCAUAUCUGUGAACGGGGGACUUUGCAUACAGUACUUAAUUCUUGUGUGUCCUACAUAUAUUCUCAUAAUUGCUCUAGGAGGUGAGGAAACCAAAAUUCAAAGAGACAAAGUGAGUUGCCCCACCUUCUGACCCCAAAACCAUGAUCUCUCUUUCCUUUCUUCCUUCCUUCCUUCCUUCCUUCCUUCCUUCCUUCCUUCCUUCUACUUGAUUUUUUUUUUUUUAAGAUUUUAUUCAUUUAUUUGACAGAGAGAGAUCACAAGUAGGCAGAGAGGCAGGCAGAGAAGGAGGGAGAAGCAGGCUCCCCACUGAGCAGAGAGACCAAUGCAGGACUCCAUUCCUGAGAUCAUGACCUGAGCAGAAGACAGGGGCUUAACCCACUGAGCCACCCAGACUCCGCUCUUCUUGAUGUUUUAAUGAAGUCUUUAGAGUGGGAUGGGAGAUAGGAAGAUAUUUAAAUAUCUUAAAAGCCAAAGAGAUGCAAAGCACAGCCUCACCUGGAUGGGCCAGUGUCACCAGAGCUUAGUGGCCCGGCAUGUCUGGACACGGUACAGCCCUGUGUAGGCUGAGGAGGGGAUGCCCCACGGCCGACCUCACCCACAGGAGUCCCAGCAGCGAAGCUUCAGGAAGGCCAUUGCUUGCCAGCAGCAAGGUUAACAUUAUCAAUAGAUUACUGGUUUAUUGCAAAAGGAUACGAUUCCGAAACAGCCAGAUGGAAGAGAUGUGUGGGGUGAGGUAUGUGAGAAGGCGCACAGAGCUUCUGUGUCCUCUCAGGCCCAGAAGCUCUUCGUGUUCUGUCCAUGGGACACAAUUCUGAUGACAAGAGCUCACACUGACUUUCUGGCUCGACUUUCCAGGGAACAUCUCUCUUGACCAGGUAAUGCUCUUUCCAAUGAAAGGCAGUUCAGGGCAAUGAGGAGCCUUGGAAGGACGUUCAGCUUUGCCUAGAGUGGGCCAGGAAGUGAGGCAAGGCAUGAGUGGGGUGGCAGGGGCGAGGCUGCUGGGUGGUGGCUACCUCUCUACCCCGCACCACCCUCCAGCCACACACGCCUUACUUCCUGAGCUCUACUGCGGUGACCUACAAAGGUGAAGGUACAUCAGAAUCACCUGGAUGACUUGGUAAAAACCCAGCUUGCUGGCUUCUACCCCCAGAAGGGUCUGGUAGAUCUGGUGGGAAUGGGUCCCAAGAAUUUGCAUUUUAUUUGUUGGUUUGCUUAGUCUUAAGUCAUCUCUACACCCAACGUGGGGCUCGAACUCACAACUCCAAGAUCAAGAGUCACAUGCUCUUCUGAGCCAGCCAGAAGCUCCAGAGUUUACAUUUGAAACGAAUUCCCAGGGGGUGCUGCUAGUUGGGGGACCCCACCUGGAAAACUCCUAUACCAUUCCUGUCCAUUCUCCCCUUAAGGCCUUUGCACCUGCUCUGCAUCUCCUAGGGAUGCUCUCCCUUAGACCUUAGCCACUUCCUCAGAGAAGCCUUCCUUGACCGCUCGUGGUAGAGUAGUCACUCAAUCACUGCUUCUUGCCUGUUUUGUUUUCUUUACAGCCCUGGUCACAUUUAGAAAUUAUCUUGUUACUAUAUUCAUUGACUUUUUUAUUGGUUUAUUGGUUUAUUGGUUGUCUGUUUGCCUCUAUGAGAACGUAAACUCCGGGACGCAGACGCCUAUCCCUGGGGGCAAAGGUCAGUGCUUGACCCAGCAGUAGCUACAUAGGAAAUUGUUUAUUAAGUUGAAAGCAGGUCGGGUGGGCUUCUGCAACCUGGGGGACUGGUGGGGGCUCGGUUUUCUGGCAGUGGAGGCCCUGGUGACAGGCACCAGAACAGAAAGCUGUUUGAAUAUUGAGCUGAACAGCUGACAUAGGUUACAAAAAAGUCAUCCUCUUUUGGGGGGAAGGGACAGGGUGGGGUGAGACAGAGUUUAAGAUAGGUGACCUUUCAAGCAGAUGGAGGAGGAAGGAAGGGCCCACUGACAUCACAGCUGAGAGGCCCAGAGCUCCCUUGUGGUCCAGGGGCCUGGGCCACCAGAAUAGGCCCCUGGCUUGAGUCACUCCCACCUGUGAGGCCAGAGGCCAGGCCAAGCCUGGA